rnacentral:rRNA from 1 species
AUUGAACGCUGGCGGCAGGCCUAACACAUGCAAGUCGAACGGUAACAGGAAACAGCUUGCUGUUUCGCUGACGAGUGGCGGACGGGUGAGUAAUGUCUGGGAAACUGCCUGAUGGAGGGGGAUAACUACUGGAAACGGUAGCUAAUACCGCAUAACGUCGCAAGACCAAAGAGGGGGACCCUCGGGCCUCUUGCCAUCGGAUGUGCCCAGAUGGGAUUAGCUUGUUGGUGGGGUAACGGCUCACCAAGGCGACGAUCCCUAGCUGGUCUGAGAGGAUGACCAGCCACACUGGAACUGAGACACGGUCCAGACUCCUACGGGAGGCAGCAGUGGGGAAUAUUGCACAAUGGGCGCAAGCCUGGUGCAGCCAUGCCGCGUGUAUGAAGAAGGCCUUCGGGUUGUAAAGUACUUUCAGCGGGGAGGAAGGGAGUAAAGUUAAUACCUUUGCUCAUUGACGUUACCCGCAGAAGAAGCACCGGCUAACUCCGUG